CUACGUGCCAGCAGCCGCGGUAAUACGGAAGGUCCGGGCGUUAUCCGGAUUUAUUGGGUUUAAAGGGAGCGUAGGCCGGAGAUUAAGUGUGUUGUGAAAUGUAGACGCUCAACGUCUGACUUGCAGCGCAUACUGGUUUCCUUGAGUACGCACAACGUUGGCGGAAUUCGUCGUGUAGCGGUGAAAUGCUUAGAUAUGACGAAGAACUCCGAUUGCGAAGGCAGCUGACGGGAGCGCAACUGACGCUUAAGCUCGAAGGUGCGGGUAUCGAACAGGAUUAGAUACCCUGGUAGUCCGCACAGUAAACGAUGGAUGCCCGUUGUUAGUUCACUUUAGAAUUAGCGACCAAGCGAAAGCAUUAAGCAUCCCACCUGGGGAGUACGCCGGCAACGGUGAAACUCAAAGGAAUUGACGGGGGCCCGCACAAGCGGAGGAACAUGUGGUUUAAUUCGAUGAUACGCGAGGAACCUUACCCGGGCUUGAA
rnacentral:rRNA from 1 species